GAUUCAUGGUUCUACCGGUUCCCAUCGCGCAUGGCAUUUAUUAUCUUAUGAAACAUAACCACUAUCGUUUCUCCGAACAACACAUUAUUUGGGAGGUUAUAUUAUUUAAUUUUUCAUUAUUAGAAUACUUGAGUGGUUCGGCAAAAUAAGUGAUAAUAUAUUGGUUGAGGCUGUCGAAAACGAUGAUUGAUUAUAAACUGAGAAUUUAUCCAACUCAAAGAAGACUGGAGUCUUUUGCUUAGAUAUAACUGGGUUUUAGAAAUUCUUUUUAUUUUUGUGUGUUUGUGUUGGUUUUUGUUUAUUUAUUUAAUGAAAAUGAAAUGAACCCUAUGAUGAUAGAGAAUUGAAAAUUCGAUUCAGACAUAACAACAUGAGUGAGGAAAUUCGAGUAGUUCUGAUGCCGAAAGCGAAACUUGAAUAAAAGUGGUGGUGGUGGUUAAAAUUUAAAAAAAAAUUAAAUAAAAUUAAAAUUCUGGUGUCUAAAAUAUGUUCAUUAAACAAACUUUCUUUGCAAAAAC
rnacentral:lncRNA from 1 species